GCCGGUGUAGCUUAGUGGUUAAAGCGCCCGACUCAUAAUCGGGAGAUCGAGAGUUCAAAUCUCCCCACCGGCA
rnacentral:tRNA from 1 species